rnacentral:rRNA from 1 species
GUGUCAGCCGCCGCGGUAAAACGUAGGUGGCAAGCGUUAUCCGGAUUCACUGGGCGUAAAGCGCGUGCAGGUGGCUUCGUAAGUUGGAUGUGAAAUUUCCCGGCCUAACCGGGAAGGGUCAUUCAAUACUGCGGGGCUUGAGGGCAGAAGAGGGGGGUGGAAUUGCCGGUGUAGUGGUGAAAUGCGUAGAUAUCGGCAGGAACACCUGUGGCGAAAGCGGCCCCCUGGUCUGCUCCUGACACUCAGACGCGAAAGCUAGGGUAGCGAACGGGAUUAGAAACCCUCGUAGUCC